GACGAACGCUGGCGGCGUGCCUAACACAUGCAAGUCGAACGAGGUCCAAGGAAGCUUGCUUCCUGAAGACCUAGUGGCGAACGGGUGAGUAACACGUGAGAAACCUGCCUCGGAGUGGGGAAUAACUCGGGGAAACUCGAGCUAAUACCGCAUACCUUCACAUGAUCGCAUGGUCGAGUGAAGAAAGAAUUUCGCUCUGAGAGGGUCUCGCGGCCUAUCAGCUUGUUGGUGGGGUAACGGCCUACCAAGGCAACGACGGGUAGCUGGUUUGAGAGAACGAUCAGCCACACUGGGACUGAGACACGGCCCAGACUCCUACGGGAGGCAGCAGUGGGGAAUCUUGCGCAAUGGGCGAAAGCCUGACGCAGCAACGCCGCGUGCGGGAUGACGGCCUUCGUGGUUGUAAACCGACUUUCAGCAGGGAC
rnacentral:rRNA from 1 species